rnacentral:sRNA from 1 species
GGCCUUAUGUUUUAGACAUAAGGGUUGGAGAUUGUAGUCAACUGGCUGGCAUGUAUUCUUAGGAAUAUUUCCA